rnacentral:rRNA from 1 species
UACGAAGGGGGCUAGCGUUGUUCGGAAUUACUGGGCGUAAAGCGCACGUAGGCGGGUUGUUAAGUCAGGGGUGAAAUCCCGGAGCUCAACUCCGGAACUGCCUUUGAUACUGGCAAUCUAGAGACUGGAAGAGGUUAGUGGAAUUCCCAGUGUAGAGGUGAAAUUCGUAGAUAUUGGGAAGAACACCAGUGGCGAAGGCGACUACCUGGCCCAUUCUUGACGCUGAGGCGCGAAAGCUAGGGGAGCGAACGGG